GGCCCCUUAGCUCAGUUGGUUAGAGCACCCGACUCAUAAUCGGUAGGUCCCCAGUUCAAGUCUGGGAGGGGCCACCA
rnacentral:tRNA from 4 species